rnacentral:rRNA from 1 species
UACGGGGGGGGCAAGCGUUGUUCGGAUUUACUGGGCGUAAAGGGUGCGUAGGCGGCGCGUCAAGUCAGUUGUGAAAUCUUAAGGCUUAACCUUAAGCGGUCAACUGAUACUGUCGUGCUAGAGUGCAGAAGGGGCAAUCGGAAUUCUUGGUGUAGCGGUGAAAUGCGUAGAUAUCAAGAGGAACACCUGAGGUGAAGACGGGUUGCUGGGCUGACACUGACGCUGAGGCACGAAAGCUAGGGUAGCAAACGGG